rnacentral:tRNA from 1 species
AGGGCAGUAGCUCAACUUGGCAGAGCAUCGGACUCCAAAUCCGAAGGCUGGGGGUUCAAGUCCCUCCUGCCCUGCCA